AAAGCUGUCAUUUAUUUAUAUUUUAAACGUGUUCUUCAUUUGUCUGGGGGUUUUUUUGUUUGGAGUUUUUUGUUUGUUUGCUUGUUUUGUUUAGUUUUGAAUUUUCAUGACAGGGUUUCUCUGUGUAGCCCUGGCUGUACUGGAACUCGCUCUGUAGACAGACUAUGGUGGCCUUGAACUCACGGCCUCCUCUGAGUGCUGGAAUUAAAGGCACCACUACUUCCUAGCUUCAGCCUGUCUUUUUUAAAGUGACAUAUGUUCAGUAUGGCCUAUAACCUAGAUUACUUCCUAACUCCUUGAAAAUUUGUGAAUGCUUUCCUGAUACUGUGGAGUCAGGCAUUUUCUGUUUGAGCUGAGAUGCAUGUCAGCCCUAAUGUCCACGGUGAGGCUGUCCAGAAUGCUACUGACCCUUUUCCCAUGGUCUAGUGAUUGAGUACCUGGCAGAAUGAGAUCUGGAACUCACAACUUUCCAGAAAAUACUUUGAAAAUUUUAUUUUCAUUUCUAGUGAUUAAAUGUUUUUGCUUGCAUAUACAUUCAUGCUCCAUAUGACUGCAGUAUCUACAGGGACCAGAAAAGGGCAUCAGAUCCCCUGGACCUAGAGUUAACAGAUGAGCCUGUCAGCCAUGUGAAUUGCCACAUGGGUGAUAGGCUCCAAACCUGGGUCCUCAGGAAGGACGGCCAGUCCACUUAACUGCUAAGCCAUCUCUCUCCAAUCCC
rnacentral:lncRNA from 1 species